rnacentral:rRNA from 1 species
CCUUGUUACGACUUCACCCUAAUCAUCUGUCCCACCUUAGGCGGCUGGUUCCUAAAAGGUUACCCCACCGACUUUGGGUGUUACAAACUCUCAUGGUGUGACGGGCGGUGUGUACAAGGCCCGGGAACGUAUUCACCGCGGCAUGCUGAUCCGCGAUUACUAGCGAUUCCGACUUCAUGUAGGCGAGUUGCAGCCUACAAUCCGAACUGAGAAUGGCUUUAAGAGAUUAGCUUACUCUCGCGAGUUCGCAACUCGUUGUACCAUCCAUUGUAGCACGUGUGUAGCCCAGGUCAUAAGGGGCAUGAUGAUUUGACGUCAUCCCCACCUUCCUCCGGUUUGUCACCGGCAGUCUCACCAGAGUGCCCAACUUAAUGCUGGCAACUGAUAAUAAGGGUUGCGCUCGUUGCGGGACUUAACCCAACAUCUCACGACACGAGCUGACGACAACCAUGCACCACCUGUAUCCAUGUCCCCGAAGGGAACGUCUAAUCUCUUAGAUUUGCAUAGUAUGUCAAGACCUGGUAAGGUUCUUCGCGUAGCUUCGAAUUAAACCACAUGCUCCACCGCUUGUGCGGGCCCCCGUCAAUUCCUUUGAGUUUCAGCCUUGCGGCCGUACUCCCCAGGCGGAAUGCUUAAUGCGUUAGCUGCAGCACUGAAGGGCGGAAACCCUCCAACACUUAGCAUUCAUCGUUUACGGUAUGGACUACCAGGGUAUCUAAUCCUGUUUGCUACCCAUACUUUCGAGCCUCAGCGUCAGUUACAGACCAGACAGCCGCCUUCGCCACUGGUGUUCUUCCAUAUAUCUACGCAUUUCACCGCUACACAUGGAGUUCCACUGUCCUCUUCUGCACUCAAGUUUCCCAGUUUCCGAUGCACUUCUUCGGUUGAGCCGAAGGCUUUCACAUCAGACUUAAAAAACCGCCUGCGCUCGCUUUACGCCCAAUAAAUCCGGACAACGCUUGCCACCUACGUAUUACCGCGGCUGCUGGCACGUAGUUAGCCGUGGCUUUCUGGUUAAAUACCGUCAAUACCUGAACAGUUACUCUCAGAUAUGUUCUUCUUUAACAACAGAGUUUUACGAGCCGAAACCCUUCUUCACUCACGCGGCGUUGCUCCAUCAGACUUUCGUCCAUUGUGGAAGAUUCCCUACUGCUGCCUCCCGUAGGAGUUUGGGCCGUGUCUCAGUCCCAAUGUGGCCGAUUACCCUCUCAGGUCGGCUACGUAUCAUUGCCAUGGUGAGCCGUUACCCCACCAUCUAGCUAAUACGCCGCGGGACCAUCCAAAAGUGAUAGCCGAAGCCAUCUUUCAAGCUCGGACCAUGCGGUCCAAGUUGUUAUGCGGUAUUAGCAUCUGUUUCCAGGUGUUAUCCCCCGCUUCUGGGCAGGUUUCCCACGUGUUACUCACCAGUUCGCCACUCACUCAAAUGUAAAUCAUGAUGCAAGCACCAAUCAAUACCAGAGUUCGUUCGACUUGCAUGUAUUAGGCA